UGACCUAUGGAUUGACAGCC
rnacentral:miRNA from 14 species